GACGAACGCUGGCGGCGUGCUUAACACAUGCAAGUCGAACGGAAAGGCCUGCUUUCCGUUGUGGAUUUCGGGUACUCGAGUGGCGAACGGGUGAGUAACACGUGUGUGUUUUGCCCCCAACUUGGGUAUAAGCCUGGGAAACUGGGUCUAAUUCUCGUUAGGACUGCAGGGUGGUGACGGGGGUGGAAGACGUUCUUCCAGUGGUAGGGGAUGAGCUGGCGGCCUAUCUGCUUGUUGGGGGGGCAAUGGCCUACCAAGGCGGCGAGUGGUAGCCGGCGUGGGAUGGUGGACAGCGGCAUUGAGACUGGGUCCCGGCCCAGACGCGUGCGAGAGGCAGCAGUGCGGAAUAUUGGAGCAUGGGCGGGAGGCUGAAGCGGCGACGCCGCGAGGAGGAUGACGGGCUUCGAGAUGUCAGCUCCUUUCGACCGCGAGGAGGGUACCUGGUUGGAAGGGUGGUGACGGUAGUGGUAGAAGAAGCCCCGGCUAACUACGUG
rnacentral:rRNA from 1 species